rnacentral:lncRNA from 1 species
CCCCCCCCCCCCCCCCGUACCUCUUGGGAAGUAUUUCCCAUAGGUUUCUAACUUUAUUUUGCUGCUAUUUUGAGCAUUAGCAGGUAACUUGCAAGUCUGGAAGCCAUUUAUGUUGAGGAUAGCUAGAAUUUUAGACCCUUGCAAUAUUUAAGACUUAGCUCCUCAGCCUUGUGAAAGCUACCAUAGUGCUCCAUGAAGUUCAUUGAACGUGAGCCUGUUGCCCUGUGCGCUUGGUCCUAUACUCACCCCUUCACUAGGUGUCCCUGAUUCACUGCACAGGCAUCUGGUUUCCCAAAGCAGCAUUCCUCUCCUCUGCUGUAGUGUGACUGUGUAAGACCGGUUGCCAUCAGUGUUGUUCCUGCCUCUGCGGGGACACUGACAGCCCCAUCAGUGUUUGGCCACUGCUAGUUUUUCAGUGUCACUUUUAUUUCCUGGAAAAGAUACACCAAGUAUGGGAUCGUCAGUACCAGGAAUCGAAUGUUUGUCUGAUUGGAGCUUCUUGUCUUUCUUUGAAAUAAGUGAAUAUCCUGUGAAAUCUAUCUGAAGCUCUGCAAUAGCCUUGGAAUUGAGUUUGACUACAAAAAGGAUUUUAAUAACACCUUUCUCUAGGGCUACUAUCAGUUAAGCAUUAGUAGAUUGUAGUUUAAUUUUCAUAGUGGCAAAUAUUUUUAUUCUCGAGUCCUCCAGGAAUGGAUUUUCCAUUAUAUCUAGUGUUUUAAGCAAAAACAAUUCUCCAAAUGUCUUUAAUUUUCCAUGGGAUCUAGAAAUAAAAUUUAAGCAUCUGUAAACUAUAUGUCUAUGGAGUUUAGUCCCCUUUUUUGGAUAUAAAUGAAAAAAAUCAGGAAGUGUGGCAUUGUCUAGGCAUCUUUAAGCUGUUUCAUUUCUGGCCUUGGUAAAUAAUAAAAAUUACAUCCCUAGCUACAGGUACAACCUUUAAGCCACAGAAAAGGAUAUUUGCCCAAAAGUUUGGAGAUGCUCUUUGAGGUGUGGAAGAUCUUAUUGGAAAAUUAUUACUUGGUUCAAUUCAGUUGUUUGGUAGGCAAGUUAGUUGUUUGGUAGGGACUUGGUGUUUGCUUUGUUUUUUAUUUUCCCAGUGAUGUUUGGCACAUUGAGCAUAUCUAUGCUUUGAGGUUAAAAAUUAUCUGCUAAGGAUGGUGGGCCUGGGUUUCUGGUUGACAACUAGGUGGGUCUGAGUAGAGCAGUCAUUUCCUGGUAGGCACAGAAUAAUCCCUGACAGUAGUGCUGUUCUGUAUUGUUUUUUGCUUUUAAAAAACUUUUUAUUUUUGAUUUAUUUUCCUGUGAACAUCCAGUGCACUGAGAUUAUGUCAUUCCUUCAGACAGCCCUGCACCUUGCCUCUGUAAUCCCUUAUAUAAUGUGGAAGCACAAAGAAACCGUUAAGCUCACUUCAUCUCAAGAUCACCUCCCAGCCCUUAUGGUUUCCCAUCCUAAAAGCAGCCUAACUGAAAAGAAUACCUUGCUGGACCAAUAGAAACGGACGUGGGAAUAUUUGUGGUCUGGUAAAAUAUUGUAAUUUGAUAUGAGGCUGCCCUCAACCCUUGUAAUUAUUCUUUCCUCAUUCAUUGAUUCAUUCAUUGAUUCAUUCAUUGAUUCAUUCAUUCAUUCUGCAAACGUUCGUUGAGGGCCUGCUUUGCUCGUAAAGGCGAGCAGAAAGCAUCAGGAAUUUGCUGUAGCCGAGGAGCCCUGGGAGCGCAGCUGAUGAGCCAAGGGAUGCUUGUGAUACCCCAAAUGGAGUGACGGUCCCCGACCCCCGAACAAAGAGAGCAAGUGGAUUCUGGUGAACUGGCCAAGGCCUGUGGUCCUCUUGAGCAAGUCUCUCCUGUUCCGGAAACCAAAAGUGCCCUUCUUCAUCUUUGGAGACAUUUUACUCUUACAUCUACUUUUUCAGACUGAGCUGUCUCUGCUACUUAGGGGUUGAAAAUCCAUUACAAAGUCACUUUCCAUUAGAAUUUGGUCAUCCAUGUUUGUAUGAAACAGAUAUGGGGAUGGGGGGGCGGGGGACAAAUUGCCAUCCCUCUAAAGAAACUAUCAUGGAAAAAACUAGGGACAGUAUGUAAAGGAAGCAGCAGUGGCAGCCUUGAGGAAAAAUGGAACAGAGAAGAGCUGUGAACAGAGCUCACUUAUUUCAAAUAAAUGUGUUUUUAAAAAUAGAUUGACAUAUGAUGUUACAUUUCAUUCUGACAAAUUACCCAACAGCUAAAGUUGUUGUUUCCUACAUAGGUUAUCAGAAUUAUUGAAUGUCAAGAUAAUUAGUGUUUCUGGGUUGGAUUUUUGAGAUAGUUACAGAAAUCAUAAGCACAGUUUCAAUAAAACAUAUUCUGUGAGGUGUGUUGAACUUGUAUUAUUUGGAAGUAAGAGCAAAAUUUGCUGACAAAUCAGUGCCUAUAUCAUAAACAUAAAGUAGCUGUUACUGUGCAGACUGGUCAUCUUUACUUUCAUAAAGGGUACAUUAUUGUUAAACUUCACUACAUUUUUGGGAGGGAAAUCCUAUGCUUUCUUUAAAUGAACACUUAGUAUUUCACACUGCCUUUUAAUCAACUUUCAUAGUGUUUGUUUUGCAGCUGCAAUUUGAGCAUGACCAGUCAUUUUUUUCCCCCAAGUAAUGAAAACAAUUUUGCAUGGCCUCCGUCUAACCCAGAAAGCAUGUUCUUACAACCUAUGCAAACAACUAAUAAAAAAUACGCUAAAUGUAAAUUUUUAAAAAGGCAAUUCUUGGAUUAUGGAGCUCUAUUUUUGAAUUUGUAAUUUUUUACAUGUGGCUUAAUCAUCAGUACCGAAAAGCAUGAAUGUGUUUUCUUGUUUUGCUUUGCACAUGUUUCUCUUUGCUGAUUUUUUUUUUGAUUGUUGGCAAGAUUGUAUGUAAAAUAAGUAUUUUGCAAGCAGGAGUGGAAUUGGAUAUGUUGAACACACACGGGUUUAUAUACUGUAUUUAGCCUGAAGACUUUCCUAAAGUAUUUUGUUCUAAAAAUAACCUGCCAUUUUUUAUAGAUUUUAAUUUUUUAUAUCUUCUAGGGUUCUAUCGUGGUCACAAGAAGAGAAUGUGGCUUCUAAUAGUGCUAACAAUUUUAAAAUGCUUUUGUAGAGACUUAAAGGUGUUUUGGAAAGCUUUGGAGCUUCCCAAUCACUGGUCACAAUUAAGACUAAGCUCAUGGAAUUUAUGGUAGCAUUCUACAGUGGAUUAGGUUAUAGAUCUAUUUCACAUGCAUUUAAAACUGUUAUUUCCCAAUUUUGGAGGGAAAGGAGAUCCACUGCAGGCUUAGGAGGCUUUUCCAAGUCUCAUACACAUACUCUCCACAGGAUUCUGUUAGGCCUCUUCUGAAUGACUUGUCUGAGAUUCUGAUACUCAGCAUUCACUAGAAUCAUCUAGAGAACUUUUAAAAAUGCCUGGGUCCCACUCCCAAGCUUUUGAUCUAAUUAGUGUAGGGGCAGGUCCCAGGAAUUGCCAUAUAUUUUAAAGCUCUUGGGGGUUUCUAAUUUCAGUCAGAAUUGAGAGCCACUGUGCUACACUGUCCCUAUGGUGAGAAUCACUGCCAUGUGAAGCACUCAGGAGUGACUCAGACUCCUGUUUCAUUGGAGAGGAAGUAAAAGAUUGAGAACUACUGAUACUAAUAUUCUGUUUGAAAUAAGGGAGCCUUUCUGAUUUGAGGCCCUAUUUGGGUGCUUGGAACACUUGCCAGUCUCGUGGGAUCUGGUGCUCUUCAGUUUGCUGGAGCAGUCAAGAGUCCCCUGUAGGGUGUGCAUCCUUCACAGAGCCUUUUUUUCUGGCUACCACCACAGGGCCAGACCCACAGGGGAGUUGGGAAGUCACUCUGAGUUAGAAAAUGCUGAAGUAAAACCUUCAUGGCCUUGGAAAACCUGUUCCUGAUUUUGAUAGAAUGUCUCCAUAGUAAUUACAAUAGCAAACUCGAGGCUGCCACCUAAUUUCCUAGUUAGCUCAUUCUCUACUUAUCCACAGUGUCGUUUUAGGAGUUGACUUUUAGUUUAAAAACAAAUGUGAAGCAUUUUAUUUGGGAGUCUUUGUUUUGGUAACCCUCUGUUUUUUCAAGUAAUUAAAAAAAAAUAAUAUCCAAAAAUUUGGCAGUGUAUGUUACCUAUGGAGGCAAAUGAAAUUUAGUUUUAAUCUGUGGUGAGCUGAAUGCACUUUAAACAUCUUCAAAGUAGUCUGCUGUGCUUCUCAGGUGGUUUCAUCCUGUUGAGCAUUAUGCUGCCUACAAAAAAAAAAAAAAA